rnacentral:lncRNA from 1 species
UCUGACAUUAUUAUUACACUUGUAUCAUGCUUUUUGCGGUCAUGAAACUGGACAGGGCACAGCAGAGUCAGCUCUGCUUUGCUCCAAGGUAUCUAGAACCACAGCUGGGAUGACUUAAGUGCCUGCAGGCUGAUCAGGCAUCUCUCUCUCUCUUCCCACAGGCCAUCUCCCUCUCUCUCUCUUCUCAUUGCAUGGUGGCCUCAGGGUAGUAGGACUUCUUCCACGGUGCCCCAGGGCUCCAAGAGCCAGUGUUUCGAGAAGGCUGAGCUGAAGCUACAAGGCUUCUUAUGGCACAGCCUCAGAACCCCCAGAAGGUGAAUUCUGCCACUAAGACUAGCCAAGAUUCAAGGAGAGGGGAAUAGGAAGGACAUCAAAGAAUUGAGACUCACUUUAAAUCUGCCACAGUAAGUAACCAGUCAAGUCAUAUAGCCAGUAAGUUGGAAGACAGCAUUAACUCACACUCUUAACCAUUAUGCCAAGUUUAGCAAUCUGAUAAUUGAAUUUAUAUAUCACUGAGAUAAAUCCAGUGGAUGAUGGAUAUUCUGAUGUUAAUUUGUAAUUCAGUUAUUUGGCACACAGAUCAUAUUUUCUUCUAAAGAUGAAUAUAAAGUGAACAAACCACUGUCCAGACUUUUUUUUUUUUUUUUUUAGUCUUUUGUCUUUUUUGUUGUUGUUGCUGCUAUUUCUUGGGCCGCUCCCGCGGCAUAUGGAGGUUCCCAGGCUAGGGGUCGAAUCGGAGCUGUAGCCACCGGCCUACGCCAGAGCCACAGCAACUCGGGAUCCGAGCCGCGUCUGCAACCUACACCACAGCUCAUGGCAACGCCGGAUCGUUAACCCACUGAGAAAGGGCAGGGACCGAACCCGCAACCUCAUGGUUCCUAGUCGGAUUCGUUAACCACUGCGCCACUACAGGAACUCCCUGUCCAGACUUUUUUCCCACAGUGAGAACUCCUAUUCUUCCUAUUAAAGAUCUCAUGGGCUAAUGAGAAGGAACAAAAUCUAUUAAUUAGUGUUCAAUGUGAUUAUCAUUGCAUGAUAGGAACUAAUAUGGAAACUGAAGAAGAAACACCUAACUCUAUCCUGGGGGUCUGGAAAGGCUUUUUAAAGGAGUUAAGGUUUGAUUAUAUCUUAGGGGGUUAAGAGGACCUUGCCAGGUAUUACGGACUGAAUUUUUGUGUCUCCCUCACUCAAAAUUCAUAUGUUGAAGCUCUAACCCUAGAGAGGUUAUGUAUGUGGAGACAGGACUUUUACCAAAGUAAGUGAAGGUAGAUGAGGCCACACGGAUGGGACCCUGUUAUGAAAAGAUUAGUGUCCAUAUAAGAAGAGACACCAGAGAGCUAGCUCCCUCCCCUUUCCCCUCACCCUUUCCUCUCCUCCCUUUCCUCCCCAAUAAACCAGGGAAAAGCCAUGUGAGGACAUAAGAAGAUGGCAGCCUUCCACAAGCCAGGAAUAGAGCCCUCACUGGAAACUUAAUUAGGCAGAACUUUGAUUUUGGACUUCAAGAAAAUGUGAGAAAAUAAAUUUGUGUUGUUUAAAUCACUCGAUCUAUGGCAUUUUGUUAUGGCAGCCUGGGCUCACUAAGACACCAGCUAAAAAGGAAAGGGAGAAUGUUCCAAGGAGAAGAGUCAGCAUAUUUAAUUGAAAGGAGACUUAAAAAGCAUGACAUAUUUAGGAAACCAGCAGUUCAUUAAGCCUGAAGUAUAGGGUGUUUGUGGGUAAGCAAUGGGAAACAGACCCGAAAGAUGAAAAAAAUAUGGGUGUCUGACCUUCUCAAAUUGUUGAAUCAACCAACCAUGUGGCUGCCUGACCUCUGGAUUUCUCCUUAUGUGAGAUGUUUCUGUGUUCUUUGAACCCCCAUGACAUGUUCUCUGUUCUUUGUUUUCAAGGGCAUUGAAUCAUUUAGACUGAAUUUUGGCUGCAUCUUAUAAAAAUCCUAAAAUAAUCAUGAUUUAAACAAUAUAGAAUUGUGAUUCUCUGUUGAUAAAAAUGCACUGAUGUUGUCAGCCCAGGGUAGAGACUCUCUCCAUUGUGGCAAAAGCCCGUGUUGGCUUUAUCAUGUUGUUACACUAUUCUAAGUAGGUGACUAGGGGAUCAUAUUACAAGGACCAGCCAUCCUGUCCACAUUCCAAACAGGAAGACAGGAGGAUACAGACCAUGUCUUCUUCUUCACAGACACAGAAACCACAUUGGAUACUUCUACUUAUAUGCCAUUGGCCAGAACUUAAUCACAUGAGAGCACAUAUGUGGAGGCCUGAAAGGUUGUCUUUACUUUGGAUGGUUAUGAUUCCAAAUAGCAAUUUGUGGGCUUAUUGCUAAAGAAGAGGAGUAGGGAUGUUGAGAAAUGCUUUCUAGCCUCUACCUCCUAGAGACUCCUCCUAAUUCAUCUAGAUGCCAGUGUAUGAGAGGGGGUGAGUGGAAUGGAAGUAGAUUCCCAGAAGGAAUUUUGUGGGUUACUGUGAGGGUAAUUCUGGUGUGAUUGGACUUUUGCCAUGGUGUCUGACAUGCAAUUAGUUUCCUGUUGGAACAACAAGUGUUCUUGCCCAGUGUACCUAAGAUGACCUUCCUGAAGUUUUAUAGGAUUUCACACAGCUAUUCUUGUACAGAAGGAAGAGAUAUUAAAACAGUGGAUUAUAUAUUCUUGUUAUUUCAUAGUAUUUCAUAGUCUGUAAACUGCUUCAGAAUUGUGACAGCCCACCUGAAUAGAAAAAAACAAAAGCCAUAUUAAGGGGUUAUUCUACAGUUUUUCCAUAGCAUAAGAAAUCAUCAAAGUGAGAAGACAACCUGCAGAAUGGGAAAGAGUAUUUGCAAACCAUACAUUUGAUAAAGGGAUAAUAUCCAAAAUA